GAGAACAUCACAUCUACAGGAACACAGAGCCCCUCCGUGUGAGCUACUGUUCCUGGGAAAGCUGGUCAUACCAAGGACAGCCCUUUGGCAAGCAUGCAGCCUUUGUUCCUCUGCCUACUUAAGCAAGCUUCUUUUGGGGGGGCGGUUGCGGGUGCACACCUCCAUCCAGUCGGCCGCCACUGGACACGCUCCCGAAUUGGUCCAUGUGAUGGCGGGAGCUGGCAAUUCUGAAAUCCACAAGGCAAGCAGCGGGCUGGAAACUCAGGUGCAGAAGACAGCCAAGCAAGUGGAGAUGCCCCUGUAAGCACACGCAGCCGCAAGAUCUUCUGAAGCAUCCAUCACAAGUUCAAGAAAGCACAAGAGAAGUGAAUCAGAAUACCAGAUGGAAUUAGCUGGAGCAGAACCAAGAGUCCCAGGAGAACUCUGCCGAUCCAAGUAAUGCACUGUGUAUGGAGAGCCCUGGAGACCCUACAACUAUCUGCUGCAUCUCCAGAGGAGCCUGUGGAGACAUGGCCAACCACGUAGAGACCAAAUGUUACACCAAUAGGCUACACAGAUUGUAAUUAUUAAAA
rnacentral:lncRNA from 1 species